AACUGCCUGAUGGAGGGGGAUAACUACUGGAAACGGUAGCUAAUACCGCAUAACGUCGCAAGACCAAAGAGGGGGACCUUCGGGCCUCUUGCCAUCGGAUGUGCCCAGAUGGGAUUAGCUAGUAGGUGGGGUAACGGCUCACCUAGGCGACGAUCCCUAGCUGGUCUGAGAGGAUGACCAGCCACACUGGAACUGAGACACGGUCCAGACUCCUACGGGAGGCAGCAGUGGGGAAUAUUGCACAAUGGGCGCAAGCCUGAUGCAGCCAUGCCGCGUGUAUGAAGAAGGCCUUCGGGUUGUAAAGUACUUUCAGCGGGGAGGAA
rnacentral:rRNA from 1 species